rnacentral:rRNA from 1 species
CGGAGGAAAAGAAACCAACAGGGAUUGCCCUAGUAACGGCGAGUGAAGCGGCAACAGCUCAAAUUUGAAAUCUGGCGCAAGCCCGAGUUGUAAUUUGUAGAGGAUGCUUCUAGGUAGCGACCGGUCUAAGUUCCUUGGAACAGGACGUCAUAGAGGGUGAGAAUCCCGUAUGUGACCGGCCCGCACCUUCUACGUAGCUCCUUCGACGAGUCGAGUUGUUUGGGAAUGCAGCUCUAAAUGGGAGGUAAAUUUCUUCUAAAGCUAAAUACCGGCCAGAGACCGAUAGCGCACAAGUAGAGUGAUCGAAAGAUGAAAAGCACUUUGGAAAGAGAGUUAAAAAGCACGUGAAAUUGUUGAAAGGGAAGCGCUUACAACCAGACUUCUGGGCGGUGUUCCGCCGGUCUUUUGACCGGUCUACUCGCCGUCCCGAGGCCAACAUCAUCUGGGACCGCUGGAUAAGACCUCAGGAAUGUAGCUUCCCUCGGGAAGUGUUAUAGCCUGUGGUGAUGCAGCGCGUCUCGGGUGAGGUCCGCGCUUCGGCAAGGAUGUUGGCGUAAUGGUUGUCAGCGGCCCGUCUUGAAACACGGACCAAGGAGUCUAACAUCUAUGCGAGUGUUCGGGUGUCAAACCCCUACGCGUAAUGAAAGUGAACGGAGGUGGGAAGCGUAAGCUGCACCAUCGACCGAUCCUGAUGUCCUCGGAUGGAUUUGAGUAAGAGCAUAGCUGUUGGGACCCGAAAGAUGGUGAACUAUGCCUGAAUAGGGUGAAGCCAGAGGAAACUCUGGUGGAGGCUCGCAGCGGUUCUGACGUGCAAAUCGAUCGUCAAAUUU